CCAAUAGCGUAUAUUAAAGUUGUUGCAGUUAAAAAGCUCGUAGUUGAAUUUCGGGAUCAAAAUGUCGGUCGUGCCUCGGUACGUACUGGCAUUAUUGGUUUCUCCCUUCUGAAGAACCGCGAUGUCAUUAAUUUGGUGUCGUGGGGAAUCAGGACUGUUACUUUGAAAAAAUUAGAGUGUUUAAAGCAGGCUCACGCUUGAAUACAUUAGCAUGGAAUAAUGAAAUAGGACGUUUGAUUCUAUUUUGUUGGUUUCUAGGAUCGACGUAAUGAUUAAUAGGGAUAGUUGGGGGCAUUAGUAUUCAAUUGUCAGAGGUGAAAUUCUUGGAUUUAUUGAAGACUAACUACUGCGAAAGCAUUUGCCAAGGAUGUUUUCAUUAAUCAAGAACGAAAGUUAGGGGAUCGAAGACGAUCAGAUACCGUCGUAGUCUUAACCAUAAACUAUGCCGACUAGGGAUCGGAUGAUGUUAAUUUUUUAAUGACUCAUUCGGCGCCUUACG
rnacentral:rRNA from 1 species